CGGUGGGAAUCGAAAAUAUUAUUCAUAUUAUUCCAUGGAUGGUGGAAAUGUGAACAGGAGUAUACAUUUGUUCAAAAUCUCACCGUUCCCCCGAGAUGCUCUCAGUGUGCUGUGCCUACUAGGCUGAUAUAUUGAGAAUGAGAUUUCAGUAUAUUUCUGAGGGUCUGACGGUAUUACUUAUCGAUAAAUCCACGGUCACACUAUUAGUCGCAUUGGUAACAAAAAAGUUGAAAUUCAUAUAGCUCAAAAUGGACCCUUUAAUUCAUGAUGAAACCAGUACAAAUAAUACCAAUUUGAGACGCGAUCUUCGCCGAAAGAAAGUAUUGGAUGAGGCAAAAAAACGUCUUGAAAAAUUAAAUGGCAGAGCUAAUUCACGCGAAACGGAUCUUUCCGACAAUGGAACACCAACUGUACUAUAUUCCGAUCCAGAGGUUGAACCAAAUAUCCAAAGUGGACGUAUUUUUUUGCCUGAUAGUAAAUUUUCUAAUACUGGAAAAUCAAAUAUGAUAAUAAAAAGAAAAGGUCAUAUAUUUUUAUCAUCAUGCCUGGGAUACUUAUUAGCUUUUUACACAGAAGGCAGUGUAUUUUUUCCGGUAAUUUUUUGUACAUCUUUGGAAUUAGUCUUCAGCAAAUAUAUAAAUCGAAAUAUAUCUGCACAUACCAAGUCAUUUUUUCUGUUGUCUUUGGGUACAAACUGUGGCGCCAAGAU